CUUGGGUUUCGGCCUGGGGAGGAGUGGCGCACGGGUGAGUAGCGCGUGGGAACCUGCCCUGAAGUGGGGGAUAACCGAGGGAAACUUCGGCUAAUACCGCAUACGCCCGGUGGAGCGAUCCAUCGGGGAAAGAUUUAUCGCUUUAGGAGGGGCCCGCGUCGGAUUAGCUUGUUGGUGGGGUAACGGCCUACCAAGGCGAUGAUCCGUAGCUGGUCUGAGAGGAUGAUCAGCCACACUGGGACUGAGACACGGCCCAGACUCCUACGGGAGGCAGCAGUGGGGAAUAUUGGACAAUGGGCGCAAGCCUGAUCCAGCAAUGCCGCGUGAGUGAGGAAGGCCUUAGGG
rnacentral:rRNA from 1 species